UUGCUGCUGCGGUGCCAUGGAGGGGAUCCCGGCUUUGCUGACAUAUGUUGAAUUGGCCUUUCGAUAGAAUCGCUGCAAAAUGGAGGUCGAUUUGAGUUGGUUGAAGACGUCUACUAAUGGUGAACGUCUUAACAUACUAUGCUGGUGUCUUGCAAGCUGAGAGCAUCCAUGAAGUAACUUGAAGCAAAUGAGGUGUGCCUACUUUAAUGGUUUGAGCUGAAGAUUUCACCAAUGAUGGGUCAUUGGAGCAGGUGGUCCUUCAUCUUUGGCUCAUGUCUCCAUUUACUUGGCAUCACUUGAUGGAAUAAUAUGACUUUCAGUCUAAAAGACCAAGUGAAGACGCGUAAAACAUUCCUGCUGGAACAUUCCAUCCCUGUGUUGGUGAAAACUAGAUUGUGAAAAUCAAGAGGACAAGAUGUCACACAGGCACGGUUGUGAUCGUUGACUUUGGAGGACAGUUUGCAUGAACACGGUCAGCUGAGGAAACUGCUGGAUCUGUCAGACUGACUAUGAAGCCAUGAAGUCCUUGCUGAGGCCCAGUGGAUAUCAAGAACAUGUCUAUGUUGGGCUAACAUUGUGGAAAUAAAAUAUCAAAAGAAAAGCUU